CCUGAACUUUGGGCCUAGCUGUGUAC
rnacentral:piRNA from 1 species